UGGAGAUGCGGGGAAUCGAACACCGUGCCUUUCACAUGCGAAGAGAACGAUCUACCUCUGAGCUAAAUCAUC